rnacentral:rRNA from 1 species
UACGAGGGGGGCAAGCGUUGUUCGGAAUUAUUGGGCGUAAAGGGCGCGUAGGCGGUGCGGUAAGUCUGAUGUGAAAUCUCCGGGCUCAACUCGGAGUCUGCAUCAGAAACUGCCGUGCUUGAGUGUGGGAGAGGUGAGUGGAAUUCCCGGUGUAGCGGUGAAAUGCGCAGAUAUCGGGAAGAACACCCGUGGCGAAGGCGGCUCUCUGGGACGGUACUGACGCUGAGACGCGAAAGCGUGGGGAGCGAACAGG